AAACACUAUCAUAUAUAUAUCAGUAAUUGUCACUGUCCAGUUCUUCGUCGCUUGACGAAGCAAUUUAUGUUUGAACUUUCGCGCGCUUUUUCGUCGUCGUGACGUCACACAGGUGUACGAUUUCAUUUUUGGAUGGGCACAGUACGUGCGGACGAUGGUCUACUCAGAUGGGUCUGAUUGAGCUAAUCUGUUUAACCUCGUAAUUAAGAUAAGUUGUGACGAACAGGCCGAUCAAUUGAAUAAAAAACUACUCUUGGGAGUGUGUAGUUGAAUGUCGAGUUAAAGCGAUCACCUGUGUUUUAAGUUUGCCACAUGGAUAUUAACGUCUGCUUUUAGGACUUCCAAUUUGAGUAGAAUUUUUAUCAUCAAAACGCAAUGACAGCUUGCCAGACAUUGCUGGCAAAGGCUUUGUACGACAAUGUGGCGGAGACUCCAGAUGAGCUGGCAUUCAAACGUGGGGAUGUCUUGUCAAUCCUGGAGCAGGACGCUAAUGGUCUGGAGGGAUGGUGGCUCUGUUCAUUCCGUGGGAAGCAGGGGAUUGCCCCAGGAAACCGGCUCAAGCUGUUGUCAGGAAUGACGGAGAAUGGAUACCCAGAAAACAUGUACCAAACGCCACCAUCGAACCAACAAAAACUUGCAUCGCCGCAGUUGGGAUGUCAUCAGCAAUCAGGUUGUGACUCCUGUGCGGCACGGAGAUAUUUUCCAGUUUAAUACGCCACCACAGCACGACUACGACGUCCCUCCUGUACGACACAGUCGGGGUAAUUCCGUUGAUCGGACCAUACCAGAAAUGGAGAUGAACUAUGAUACUCCUCCCUCCAUGAAAAACUUUGCCGAAAACAACAUGCCCGGGUUUGCUGUGUAUGACACUCCACCGUCUGCUCAAAAAGAUGGAAGAAGCAUGUCGUACAAUUCUUCUGGAGGUGAUGAUGUCUACGAUGUACCUCAACCAUCAUCCAAUAGAUCUAGCAUUGCAUCGAACAUUUCUCAUCUCUCAAAUGAGUCCACCAUGACAGUUUCAACCAGCAGUGCUUCAAACAAAAGCCGUGGAGGCAAGAAUUCGGGACCCCACAGUACCUGCGACUCUGCCCGAUCAAGCAUGGACAUAACUCCACAAGACUUUUACGAUGUCCCUCCAUCUCAACCUUCGGCUGUGUAUCAUCUGAAGCAGCCAUCUGCCGAUUCGGGAUUAGAUCUUUACGAUUCACCACCAAAGGUGAGAACAGUGCUAGAGGAUUUACCUGAUUACGAUGUGCCAAAAUCAGACUCCCCCGUUUCAAAGCCGAAAAAAUCUAACGGAAAAUUUAUCCAAUUUGGUGAAAGUGCAUAUGACGUUCCAGAUGGAAAACCCAUCGAACAUGACAUAGACGAUGUGUAUGAUGUUCCUAAAAAUAACGCUAUUGUGAAAAAAGGUGAUAAAUCUCUAUUAUGUAACAUUCAGGAAAAUUCAAAGCCAGAUCAACUGGAGUUAAUGAAAUGUGAGGGAUCCGGUGGUGUGUAUGACAUUCCUCCACAAGUUACACGGGAUUCAAUUCUGUCUUCCAGGUCCGAUUCCUCGGACAGCACUGAUGGACAGAGAGUAUCCGGAUGUAGUCUUGGAUCUAGAGAUUCAGAUAUUCCGAUCUAUGAUGAACUUCCUUUAGAUCUGGAUGCUGCUAUGGAUCUAAUGGUGAAACUUCAGCAGGAUGUGCAGAAAUCUACAACCAAAUUAUCCAGCUUUGUAAGCAGUACCUGGAGAAAACGAGAAAACCUGGAGUCUAAACUCUAUGGGAUAAAAAUCGCCUGUAAUGGUGUCAAACAGACUUUUGAGGAGUUUUUGGAUUUUGCACAAGGAACUUUGGCAAAUUCGGCCCGUCUACCAGACCGAAAACUAAUUCAUAAACUUCAUAAACAGUUAAAUCCACUACAACAAACGUUGCUCCAAAUCAAAAUAUGCAUCACAAAUCUUGAUGAGAACAACUGGCAGGUUUCAAGACUUGUAUCUGAUGAUCCUGCCAAAAAUGACGACCUAGGAAAAAUUGCAAACAUUUCAAAGGACCUGACCAUUGAUGUCAGAAAACUUGUGUCCAUCAUUCAUGGAAAUUCAUCUCUUCUUUUCAGGCGAGCGAAAGAUGGCACCCCUUUAAAAAGGGAUGGCCAUUCAGAAUCUUGCAGCACGCCACACUCAAAACCUCCGCUAAGACAAAAACUAAACAGUACUCCCAAACCAGUACUGACCCCUGAGCGAGUGUCUGAUGUUCAACAGAGACCUUUACCCCUACCCCCAGGGAAGGAGAGGCCCCUCCCUCCAACUCCUCUCAAAGUGACCACCGCUCACUCCGUGGAGGGUCUAACCAAACCUGUAACAGAGAAUGAAGAUGAGGCUAAGCAGGUGUCGGAGGUCCUGAAAUCUCUGAACAUUGAAGUGAAGGACCAGAAAAGUUGCAAUGAGGAAGACAUAUUGGAUGAAUACGACUAUGUGGCCUUGGAGGCGAAAGAUGCCGAAGAUCAUCAGAAAAAUCUCCUCAGAGACCUAGAGCAGGAGAAAAGGAAAGCCGUUAUCCAUGAGGACUUGGAUGACAAACCGGUCAAAGAAUCCUCUGUUCCAGAGUUAUGUCCCUUAAAAUCACUGACAGAUAUUCAAAAUUCCCUUAGUGAGGACCAGGAUAUAAGUGAUGAAAUGGAGAGCGUGAAAACUCCGGUGAACCGAAACUUUGUGAUCGACCCUGCUAACUGUAUUCCCAACAUGAUCAAACUGGAUCCUAAUGACAAGCAAGUGUUGAAUUUCUAUUCUGGACAGUUAGACACCCAUACCACCUUACUAAACAAUGCAAUAGAUGCCUUCUUUAACUGUAUAGAGUGCGGACAGGGUCCAAAGAUAUUCAUAUCGCACAGUAAAUUCGUUGUGGUGUCGGCUCACAAACUCGUGUACAUUGGUGAUAAUCUUCACAAAAAUCUCAUGCACAAUGAGGUCAAGACCAAAAUCAUGCACUGCGCCAAUCACCUGUGUGACGCCUUAAAAUUGACGGUGAAAGCGACUAAAACGGCCGCUCUACAGUUCCCUUCCGUUCCUGUCGUACAGGAAAUGGUGGACAGAGUGGUGGACGUUUCUCACGCUGCGUAUGAACUCAAAACCGUGAUCGGCCAGGCAUCUGCAUUGUAAAUCAUUGUUCCAUAAGUGCUUUAUAUAUUUUGAAUAUUAUUUAUUAUUUUGAUGUCUUUUACUCUGGCUGUUAAUCGACUCAGAUUUUUUUUUGGCUGGCCUCUGUUGAGGUUUAAUUAAUUAAUUGCUGUUAAGGUUAUAAUUUUUUUUAAAGUUGGUAGAAUUGAUGAUGUCAAAAGAAGAUUUUUUUUUGUCUUGUUCUGCAAAUUUUGAGAAUGAACCAACAAAAUGUCAGGUUGUGCUCUUUAUACUAUGGUGUUUGGGAAGCAUUUCUAUGAAGUGUGACUUUUGAGAGCACUUCUCUGAAAUGAUAUUGCACUGUAAAUCAAUUGAUCUCAUCUGUACAACAUGGUGCUCAGAAAAAAAAUCAUCUCCUUUCCAUAAAGAACACCUUCUGAAAUGUGUUUGAGUAGAAUAUUUUAUUUAUGUAUAGCUGUUGUGUUGAAGAGCUUAUAUGCACUUUGUAUCUAUGCCAAAAAAAUAUAUACUAAGCAUUCAAAGGGAAACAACUCUUGUUAUCACCACCACUAGUUUCAGAUGAUGUGCCUUAAUAAUACACAUUCAGCAUUACUGUCAUUAGAUAUGCAAGCAACCAGCAGUAGCCUUAGUCCACAACAAAGUACAAUUAAUAUUGAUUAAUGUGUUCAGCCUUCUUUAUACCAGGUAGAUUCUCAUGUUGUUCUCAUAAAAAGAAAUUCAUUCAAUUCAAUUCAUUAAAUGCCGACAGAAUCAUCUUUCCUAUUCAUAUUACAACUGUGAUACUUCCAUUACAACAUAAUGUACAUUGGGUAUAUAUACAUAUGUAAUUUCGUCACAUAAAAAUUCGACUAAAUUAAUACUACCAAAACAUUUUUUUGUCUGUAACAGUCACCUUGUUAUCACAGUACAGAACUAGCAGAGUACCUGUCAUUAUGUAAUAUGUAGGUUACUACACCGACGACACGCACCAAUCUCCGUCGGGUUUUGAGUUGUGUCCGGGAAGGAGGGUGGGGAGAUGUGUGGGAUUUCAAUGUACUACUGUCUGCAUGUUACAAAGCAAUAAAAAGUAUUAAUCUACAA
rnacentral:sRNA from 1 species